rnacentral:rRNA from 1 species
GACGAACGCUGGCGGCGUGCUUAACACAUGCAAGUCGAACGGAAAGGCCCUGCUUUUGUGGGGUGCUCGAGUGGCGAACGGGUGAGUAACACGUGAGUAACCUGCCCUUGACUUUGGGAUAACUUCAGGAAACUGGGGCUAAUACCGGAUAGGAGCUCCUGCUGCAUGGUGGGGGUUGGAAAGUUUCGGCGGUUGGGGAUGGACUCGCGGCUUAUCAGCUUGUUGGUGGGGUAGUGGCUUACCAAGGCUUUGACGGGUAGCCGGCCUGGGAGGGUGACCGGCAACAUGGGAAUGGGGUUACGGCCCAGAUCCUUACGGGGGCAACCGGGGGGAAUUUUGGCACAAUGGCCGAAAGCUUAUGGCGGCACCGCCGCUUGGGGAAGAACGGCUUUCGGUUGUAAACCGCUUUCGCCUGUGACGAAGCGUGAGUGACGGUAAUGGGUAAAGAAGCACCGGCUAACUACGUG